rnacentral:RNase_P_RNA from 1 species
AGUAGGUAUUGGAUAACUACUCUAUGUAAAUAGAGAGGAAAGUCCGAACACAGACCAGUUUAAUCUGGAAAAGUAAAGGGUAAUACCCUUCCAUAGUGAUAUGGAGUUGCGAACAGUGACGAUGCCGGCUUGCCCGCCUUUGGCGGGUGAAUCCGGAGUGAAACGGCUAAAUACUUACUCCUGUGCAAGAUCGUGUUCGCCGAUAAGGCGAAAGAAUCGCUUGAGUCCCCCAGUAAUGUGGGACCUAGAUAAAUUGUUAUCAUCCUGAGCGCAAGCUUGGGGUCACAAAAUUCGGCUUAUAGAUACCUACAAAAA